GCAGGCUGAAAUUCAAUAAAACUCUAGAAAUAAAAUACCAGCGGAAAUUGAAAAAUGAAAGAAUAGCAACAGAUAAACAGCAAGUGAUAAGCAAAAUAGCAUUAAUUACUUUAUCAAGCACAUGUGUUGUCCGGACAUUACUAUGCAUAGGAAAUUCCAUUUAAAACGAGAAACAAAAUAAGAAACAUGUUAGGUUGAAAUUAUGUGAAAAAAUAAGAAAGGCCAGGCUGAAAUUGGAGCCGAAUCUUCUUAUGAAAAAGCGCGCAAUAAGUGAAUGAAUGAUAAAGCUAUUCGACUAGAUAAUAGUUGAACUACUGUUACAAAAUCGUGCUUAAAAAACGCAAAAGAACAUAAAGACACAAGAGAACUUUUAAUACGAAAUGAUUAAAAGCUACAAAGGUGUGGAAAAGGGGUUGAGCACAAAAUUUUCAGGUCAUACCCUUCUACUGUCAGCAGAAAACGAUCAUUCAACAACUGGACACGCCUAUCUUACCGAAAGGAAACGCCCAUGCCUAAUUUUUCGCUACGAAUGUUUCUCAAUAUUUUGAUUUCAUUGCAGAUGAAGCUUUUUUAAAAAAGAUGUAGAAUAAAGUUUUACGGAUGGUUCAAGAAAAAACCCGUUACACCUUCUAUACCAAGUUCACCACGUGUGCGAUUCGUGUUGAACUUUGUUUAGAAAGCAAAUGUUUUCAAAAUAAUUGCUUCAACGACAAAUACUUGCAGGUGAUUGCAUUUAGACCUUUCUUUUCCACUAGCGGGAUUGUUCCUCUGUGGCACGCGACCGCCAAUACAAAAACAGCUGGAUGUUGCAUUGAAAUUGGUCCUGCAAGUCUUGUGACUUGGUACCUGUUGCAAUGUUGGCAAACACCAUGUCAGUGUGGUUUGCAAAUUAACAAGGUAAGCUCCAGACUAUGGACGUGAUAAAUUUUGCUUACAUUUGCAUUUUCUUACUUAUGUUGGCGUGCAUUUGCGUCGCUGCAGAACGUACCGAGAGGGCUGGUAACAAAGUAUUAGGCCCAUUUUUUUAGGGUCUAUUACUUUCAAGGACGAUUAUAACGACGAGGGUGUUAUGCAGAAGCUUGGCUAUUUCAUUAUCAAGCAGGUGCUUUUUGUAAAAAAUCUUCCGCCAUCUUGCAGGUCAACCGAGCUGAGGAACAUGUACAGAUUCAGGAAGUGUUUGAGUGAGGCAAACACAGAAGGCCCUCGCAAAAAGGCAUUCAAUUUUUUUACUGAAAAUUGAAGUGCAUGCUUGCUUUCUGUGGCUGUGCCUACUUCCACAAAGUUAUGGCAGUAGGAGGGGGAGGGGUAAACCUUGAAUGCUAAUUGAGACCACGCCCAUUUGAAUAACAGACAAGAAUUGACAUCAUUGUUUGCUUUUCAACUUCCAAUUGUUUUUGGUAGGGGGCUGCUACCCGACCAAUUCACGACCAAUUAACAGGUUUUACCAAGACAAAGAGAAAUAAAGAAAUUCAAUAGAUAUCCGAACACCCAGUCGUUUUAUAUGAACACACAGGCUUUCCUCGAGAAACUACUUUCGUGCUUGAUAAGUGCAUGAUUUUUACAGAAAGGAGCAAAACAGGUAACAGAUCAUCAAACGUUGCGAACUGCCCUUGUUGUUUCUGUCAGCCUCCUCUUUUGCUCGCUUUAUCCUCCAAAAAAUUCUUCAUUGGCGUGGUGUAGCUUGAGUAAAACACUCCUCGAUUUAGAACAGUUAAUUAUUUAGCUUUUAUUUAUUUGAAGUACAGAACAACCCUGCAUUUUGUCCUUUAUUGUAUAUAUAUCUUCAGGUAGUUGUGUUGUGUUUUCUCAUCUUGUGUUCACUAUUGUCAAUAGGAAUUUAUCUUGAACCAUAAAAGAAAAAUUCCUUGUCUUCUCUAUAGGCCCUCCUCCAUGCUUGACCAGUCAGCCAUAGUUCUCUAUGCAAUGUUUUUGGAUUCCAGAGUCUACCGUUCCACAGAUUGAAUUCAUUUCCAAGUGAAUGAAUGAAACUCCCUUUUUUAAAUGGCUCUGGCAUACUGGAUGCAAUGGUGUUAUUACGUUUAACCAAUACGCAGUCGAUAUAUGGCCAACAAUCUGCUCAACAAAGCAGAUGAUUUUGAGCGAGAAUACGUCAGAGUACCAGCACAUACGGCAGCACAAUUAUUUAUCAGUUUUCGUAUUUGGUUGUUUAUGGUUAAAUCGCUAACGUAGCUGGUAUACAGAUAAGCGGGAUUUUAAGAUCUUAUUGUUUUUCGUAGACAUGUCUGUUUGUUAUCUCAAUGCACACAUCAUUCACUCAUUGUUUUUUAAAGAUUGUGUGGAGGAAAAACGAGACUCUUUCCAGCAAUGGUAUAGUUUGACCUUCCAGAUUAGUGAAGUGGAGGUUCAUCAAUAGCUAAAUUUACCGACGAGGAUAUGGAUGAAGAAAAAUUUAGGGGCUAUUCCACAUAUCGAUAGGCGAUUUUAAAGAUUUUAAAGACCAACUAAAGAUUAUGUGGACCAACUGAAGAUUUACCCACCAACUUAUGAAGAAUUGGGGGGGGGGCUGUCACGCCUCCCUAAACCACCGCUCGCUUCGCCCCUGCUCUCAAACCAAUUUUGCUAAUUUCUAAUGAUGUUUUCUUUAAGUUUAAAUUUGAUUUUGGUUUAAGAUAAACAACGGAUAUGACAGGAUCGAGAUAGGAAACUAUGCCGAUGGUAGGAAAUUAUGUUCCCUGGGUACCGGAGCCACAAAAAUUUGAGAGCGGGAACAAAAGCUAGUAGUGGAGAAGCGGAGGAGCGUCUAUCAAAGAAGAAGCUAGACAAUCAUCCGCUUCUCUGCUUGGCAUUCUGUUUAUGCGCUCGUACCUGGCGUACCUGGCUCGAAUUUUGUCGCUCUGGUACCGAAAACUAUGCUGUCUGGCUAGCAUUCAGCAAUAUGAUUGGCCGGCCACUGUGCAUGCAGCUUGCAAGCUGGCCAAUCAGAAUACUUGAUUCUGCUUUGUCGUUAGAAAAGAAUUUAAGCUAGGAAAUGCUUAAAAGUUGAAGCAUAGUGCCAAAAAGCAAGUACAGCCCACUCCACUUCUAGUUACCUUUAUCAUUUACAUAAAGUUUAGACCAAAAUACACAAAACUGUCCAAAUUACCACCAUUUACAGUCACUCUCCGCUUGCUUUCACAGCUUUUUCAGAAACAUAUACAGUAGUUCGAGUCACUGACUAAAACUAGAAUCUACUGUGGUCAUUUUAUCUGUGCCAUCCCUGGUGCAGGGGAGAGUCUUUUAGUGUUUUUGACUAUUUCACUUCACGCAAUACAAAGAUAAUAAAUUCUGCAUUUUGACACAUUUACGAGCCUGUGGUUAUUUGAUGACUCAUUUUGCAUUAAACGACCUUGUUUGCGUCCUAGAACCUCGUAAACAAUAGAAUAUUGGACUGUCUUUGUGUAUCAGCAAAAGAGCAAGAAACAAAUGCUGGAUAAUUUAUUGCAAGCAAGAAAGCAAGAAACAAAUUUUAAAGGGCGUGGCCUCAAUAAAUUUUCCUUCACACCCUUCUCAACCCACCUACUUUUAGACUGGUGUACGAUGCCUGGCAAAAUCACGUCCUAUUACUUUAAUUUCACGAGACGAGACAGGCAAACGUGGUUGAGAUUAAAAAAUUGGACAUUUGUUCCAAUUUCAUUAUACUUUCCUGGAUUGUUUUGAAGCAUUGCUAUUUAGGUUCAUCGCAUCCAGUUAGGAUUCACCUGCUACCUAAUUUGUAAUACUACUGAUUAGAUGCCUACAAAGGCUUAGGUAAUGGCAGUUUCUAAUCUUGGAGAAUAACUGGGGUAGGUCAAACGCCCUUUUGCUCUGGUUUGUUUCUUUGAGAAAUGAUUUUAUAAAGACACCUAAAUUUGUAAGGGCAAAAGGCUCAAUCGAAUAGGCCGGCUGCUAAAAUAUCGGAGGGUUUAUGCCACAAACGAUUUUUCAGAGUGAGGUCAAGUAAAAUUGUCAACGCAGUCGUAGCAAUUAGGAUGGCUGGCGUUAACAGAAAUAAUAUUUUGAUAAUCAACGAUGGUGCGAUCAUUUCUAAGCUAUUUCAUUUCCUUUCAUCACGCAAAAAAAUCAUUAUCCCCAUUAAAACUGUGCAAUUAUCUUUUGGCAUGCACCCCUAUAAUUAGCACUCCUAACGACUUUUCGAGAUUCAUAUCAUAUUUUCCCCCUGGCUUCCAUGCACAUAGCUGUCUGACGUAAUUCGAAAACCUCAUUUUGCAGAAAGCUCUCCAAGAACUCUUUCUGAGGAUGUUCCCGAAAAAUAUGGGUAUUUUUUUGCACAGUCUACCAUAACUUAAGAUUUUCAGCUUUGGCACAUGACAGCCAGCUUCACUUAAAAUGUAACAACAGCUGCUGUGAAACAAAAGGACAAUCAAAUCUGGACUAAGCAUCUGUAGAGCAUGACUGUUAUUUAAUUCAAAACAUAACAAUUUCAUCCUUGAUGAAAGAAUUACAUAUAUACGAUUCCAAGAUUCCUUGAAACAAAGUCUUCUAUAGAAGUACGUAAUCACAAGUUAAAUUAGGCUGAAUCUCGGUAAUUUCUUUGCCCCAAAUAUUAAGUUAGUAUAUUAUUAAACAACAAACCAAAUUCCUGAAAUUCGAAAUAAUAACUAACAGUAUUCAGGCACAAAGUAGAGAUUCUGUUAUUCUGGCCUUAAAGAUGAAUAUUUCUAUUGUAAAAGAUUUGACCAUUGUCUUUUUUCAAUCAACAAUUCAACAAAAGAAUGUUAAACAGGGACGUUCCUAAGUGUCUACGCCGUCGUAGCAAAUGAGGAUGACUCGCGUUACCAGAAAUAAUACUUUGAUAAUCAAUCAUGGUUGUGAACAUUUCCAAAAUUUUUUAGUUCAUAUAAUCAUGCAAAACAAUUAUUAUCUCCGUAAAAGCUGCGCAAUUUUUUUUGGCAUGGGCCUUGACAAUUAACGUUGGUAAUGACUUUUCGAGAAAUUUCUGAUUAACCUCUCAGGUUAUCAGAUUUCCCCCCCUGAUCAAUGCUUCUAUGCACAUGUAUGUCUGACGUAACUUUAAAAAUCUUAUAGGAGAAAACUCUCCUUGAAGGUUUUUGAAUAUGUUCUUAAACAUAAGUAUUUUUCUGUCAGCCAACCGUAAUUUUACUAUUUGCAGUUUCACGGAGAAUAUAACAGCAAAUGUUGAGAAAACCAAAAGAACAAUCAAAUCAAAUGUUCCAAAGUUGUCUUCUCUUUGUGUUCUGGGGCAUCUGAAGCGGGCCAGGGGGCUAGGGAACUUCAACCCCCCCCAAAAUAUUGCCAGUGGGCGCUAUUUCUUUUAAAACAGGGUCCUGUAUAGGAAUACCUGAACGGGUAGUCCCUCCCAUGAAUUUUACUUUUCAUCUUCCCGAAACAUCAAUUUUCAUUCCUAAACUCGAUGGUACGCUACUAGGGAUGAGAACAUGAAGUUUUCUAUGCCCGACCUCGUUUUUUUAUAUUUUCCUGUUUCCAAGUUGCCAAGCUGCAAUUCAUAAGAGACUGAUUUUACUGAGUAUUUAGUUGAAACCUGUGGUAUGUUACCCCCACUUCCCACCAAUGCCCUCGUGAUAUAAACCCCUGACUCAUGAAGCAAAGUUUGAAAGUGGUUACCCUUCUAAUAUGCGUGAAUAUAGUAGAUAUAGUAGAUACAAGAAUUUAACAACAGACACUCACUCAGAUUGUCCAUGCAAGGACCCCCUUUUAGUCAUGCUAAGAAAAGCCUUACAAAAACAUCAUGCUGCGUUUUGUGUAUCUUAGAUUGAAAUACUAUCAAAAACUCCCACGAUAUAAAGGCAAGGCCCACAUACACUGAGGAUGCAUGCAAAGCUGCGUACAUCGUUUGUUUUUCAUUCACUACCAAUUCAGCAGGAUAUCUGAUAAACAAAGUGAUGGUUGUAGUCCAAUUGCCUGACAUUCCCACAAUUCUUCAUGGAAAUUGUCAUUUUCAUGGGCUCCGGCAAAGGUUGAAAAGUGGGCUGGCCAAGGGAAAAUUUAACACCCAUAACAAAAGAUUUUGAAAAAACUCUAUUGUUUUGCAAAAAUGUGGGGGGCUAUGGCCCCCCGGCCCCCCCCCUUCGUUGGAGGCCCUGAUUUUUGCAUCAAAGUCCGUAUCUCAUUGUUGCCAAAUGUAAAAUUAUAAUGAAAUUUUAACCUAUUUGUGUGAUGGGGCUAGGCCGGUGAGUCUUACAAAUUUCGAGUUUUUUGUUAUAGAUCGUCCUUUACAAAUCCGAUUUUGCCUUAAAUUUUCCGCAUCUCUCAGAAAAAGGCGUAGCAUUUGCCCCAAACCCUCCUUUUAUCUGCCACUGAAUAAGAAAAUCCUUCAAGAUCUUACGUUAUGCAGGUUUAACUUUUGAAGAGUGAGGUGUUCGAUUGUUUAUUGAAUCAAGUGAAAUAAGAUUUGCAAAGUAGCGGUGUUUUUGUUUCCUUUAAUCACUGUUUUGGGAAGAAUUACGUCUGUAAAUGCAGUCUUAUCGUUUUCUACAUGACUCAGAAAGUUUUUGAGACAACGAGCUACUAAAUAAGGAGAUGACGUCAUUUUCAAGAACGGAUUCACAGAUUACGUUGAUACUGUUCUGCGACCACAGCCUAGGAAGGAAAAUCGUUAUCAAUUUAUCUAGCGGAAGCGAGAAAUGAUGCCAACACGAUUACCAUAUCAUAACUGGAAAAAGCUUUCUGCCGUGGAAAAAGCUGGCUGAAAAUAAUGUGACGAUAUUUUUCCAACGAUAUUAAAAGGGUUUUCGUAGAGGCGUUAAAAGGAAACUGAAUUGUUUUCCUCCUAAUUGUUUGUCUUCUUGCACAGGGGGCACCACCUUAUCUAGAUAAACUUGUAUAUGAAGGAAAGUCUUGUGAUUUCUGAAGCGUAGUGGCCAAGGUGAAAUCCGGAUACGAAAUCAGACAUGCAACAACCACGUGUACAUAAAUAUAACGUCGUUGAAAAUCGAUACGAUUGAUAAACCGUAGAAAAUGUCCAAUCAUACCAACAAACAGAGAAAUAACAGCCAAUCACCAUCAAGCUUAUUGUUUAAAGUCACCAAUGAGAAUAAAGGGAUCUCAACAUGUCGAGGCAAGAAUUUUGUUGGCCUUGAUCCAAAGGUAAUGUUCGUCAAUGAACCAACCCACAAUGCAUUUCCUUCAACGCAACAAUUCCCGCCAAAUCAGAUGACCGAACGCGACGUGUUUCAAAACAAAAAAUUUUCACCGGUGAUCAGGCAAGAAAAUAGCGAUCAAAGAGUUAAAAGCAGUUAAUACGCUUCGAUCGACAUUGCAACCGUUAAAUCAGGUUUAAGGAAUCCUGGAGGAUAUAAAAGAUAUUAUUUUGGCCUGCACCCUGCAGGCAUGCCUUCUGUCAAUGUCACCUUGGCCAUCCUUGAACACAAAUUUCACCCUUACAAAAGCAAAGCCAAAAAGGGACAUCACUGCAAUGGAGAGUGAUGGUCGCCCUCUUGAUGAAAUGAAUAACAAUGAACGAAGGAACGACAGAGAAGAUGUUGAGAGAGCUGAUCUGGAGAGAAGACAUUUGAUUGAACAUAUUGGGGGAGAACUCGCAAGAAUUGGAGAUAUUUUCCAAGAAAUUUACGAGCAGCCAAGAACUGAAGCGCAUUUUCAAAGGUCACAAGACGCAAGAGGCCGUCGGAGAGCCUCAGAGCAACAUUGAUCUUAGCUUCAUGAUGAUAUUCACCUUCUAGGAAGGGAAGUGAUGAUGAUGAUCGAAUCGAUCUGAAAACAACAUACUUAAAUUUCUCACGCAAUCUUUAUCUUACAAAUUAUGUACUUAAACUGUUGUGCCUUUGGUUUGUUAUGGUUGGGUUAGAAGAAGAAUUUUUGAAACGUGAUAGCAGAACUCCCUACUAGUAUUGACAAGUGACCGGCCAUUUUUCGUCCCACGCAGACGGUCACCUAUCCCCCGUGUUUUGGAAUUUGCUUUUUUAAUUUCCUGAGUAAUUUCUGUGGUUUUCAAAUCGUUCGAUCGUGAGUUACUAUCUCAUUCAUAACAGUUUGUCACGUGGUUUCCCCCACAUUCAUCAAUGAAUAUAGCCUCCGCGUAGGUUUUUGCUUCGAAUGACCCGAUACCCGAAGACCUAAACGUACACAUAUUUUGUAAGACUUCCAAAAGGACGCACUUCCAUGUGUUGUUUACUUCUAAAUGAAACCACAGAAAGCGUUAAAUAUCGUUUUCACUCCUUUUAUUUUUAUUCGAAUUGCGUCUUCAUUUACGAAACUCUUAGUUUUGUCAUGCCACACCUGGCAGCAAGAGACGUGGUAUAUCUUUCCAAACGUGUUUCAUUCGUUGUUUGUUAGAUUCCAUGUCUUGCAGGAGGAAAUGCAUUCGAAAAACAAAAUUAUAUACAGCUGUUCUAAAGUUGUUAUUAUUGUAAUUGUAGUUUUAAACUUGUAAUUCUACCACAAGGUAUUUGUAAAUUAUUGUAUAUAAUUGUAAAUUUGUUGAUAAUAAAACAGAAGUUAAUGUAAUUAACUCAAUGCUGUUUCGGUUCUUUGAAACCAUAAUUUUUUGUUCUGUUUAAUGCAAACUAAAGAAUAAGAUUGAUUCGGAAAAUUUGUAAUUAAAUUUUGAAUUUAACAAUCGAAUUGGUUGUUUGGUAUGAAUUGGAUAAAAACGAAAUAUUUGAG